rfam:Gossypium raimondii Chr13_contig_478, whole genome shotgun sequence.
AUUUCGUGAUGAGGGUACUUCUGUAAUAAUUCUUUGUACCUUUCCCAUGCCUUAUACAAUGACUCAUCAUCCAUUUGUUGGAAAGCACUGAUCUCGUUCCUCGACUU